GUGCUCACCUUGGCAGCAUAUAUACUGCCAAAAUUGAAAUAAUCCAGAGAAAAUCAGUAGGCUCCCUGCUCACAAAUGCCAUGCAAAUUUGUGAGCACUAGGGUGUUAAGAAAAUUCUU
rnacentral:snRNA from 1 species